UCACACACAUAGCAGACGCUAACACAUCAAGCGUCAUCAAUAGCGUGGUCUGUGGUGCAAUGCUAUCGCUGGAGUAAGGCGUUUACCUUCAAUUCGGCGUCAUGAUUGGCCUACCCUGAUGGCGUCAUGAUCGCUGCUGAUUGCCUUUCAAAUAGGUUUUCAGCAUUCUGCUUACACCUUUGGCAUAGAGUCACAUAUUUCACAAUCCAACAUCAAUUGGUACCAACAGCAGCCCUUCUCUCCAUCAUCCAGAAGGGUCUGAGAUCAGUGUUGGAGAUGAUGGUUCGGAACAACCCAUGGAAAGCUUAUCACUCAUUGAUGCUGUGAUGCCUGAUGUUGUUGCAAGUCGUUAACAGCAAACACAGAACAAUCAGAAACCAAAGUGGUAAGACCGUAAGACAGAACCACCAAAUUCCAAUGGAGAUGAACCCAUGCAUUCCUAUCGCUGGGAAGAGGAAACAGGAGUAGAGAUACCUGCCAGCAAAUCUACUGUACUUCGUGGCCAUGAAUCUGAAGUUUUCAUCUGUCUGCGCCUGAACCCAACAACAUUCAGAAGGGUGGAACUGAAGUUCCGAGCAACAAAGAAGUCACCUUACUUGACUGUGUGAUGGAAUGUGCAUUUUCAUCCGAUGGCAAAUACCUAGCAUCUGGUAGCUUUGACUAAUGUGUACACAGCUGGUCUACUCAGUCUGGGCAAUUGUUACACAGCUACAGAGGAACUGGAGGCAUUUUUGAAGUUUGCUGGAAUUCUCGGGGCGAUAAAGUUGGAGCAAGUGCUUUUGACGGAAGUGUAUUUGCUGGGAUAACUGAAGAGAAGCUUUAAAGAAAGACGGAAACAAUUGACAAGGCAAAAGAUUGGGAACCUGAAUGCUAUUCAGGUUUAAAGGAUGGUCAGUGACUACAGUUGGGAAUGAGGUUUUCAGUUCUAACACUAUUUCCUCCAGUAGUUCCACGUUAUUACCUCAUUAUCCUGGUACCGUGUCCACAAAGCAAAAAGGAUGGAGUUCUUCAACUGUGUCUCCUUCUUCCUAUGGGCCUUGAUUUUCUCGUGUGAGAGAAGCUUCUGUGAUAGCUUUACGUCUUCACACAGCUGCUCCAGCACCAAUGUCAUCUUGUAAAACGGGAGAUUUGGGCCACCCGCCAACUGGUAGGAGAUAAAUAAUGAGUAACACUCCUAGAUGUGGUCCAUGAAAUAAGCCACUUGUGUUCAUGAUUCGCAAGCACACAAAACACAACAAGGAAAUGUACACCAAAAAAUGGAGUUCUACCGGCCUUGGAACAAAAAACCCCAACACGAAUCUGAUUUUGGCUAGCGCUUCGUUUGACUUGACCGUUCGAUUGUGGGACGUUGAGCUGGUAUAUUUUCCGUUGUGACGUUGAUAAAAAUAUUUUGAUUUGAUUUGUCAAUAAAAAUAAGAUAAUAUGUUUUAAAAAUCA